AAAAAAAAAAAAAAGCCGUUUGAGUCAUGCCAUCAACAUGGAGGUCGUAUCAUGCCAAUACCUUGUCGACAUGGUACGGCUUGAUGGACAGAGUCUGUGCCAAUGGACACUUAAAUCCUUAGUGGAUACUCUUUCUACCAAAUCAAUACCAUGUUGGCAAAGCAAUAUAGUGCGGCACUCAAAACACAAUGAACCAUUUCCUGUGUUCACAUGUACGUAGGGAAAGGGAUUUCUAGUUUUCUACACAUAAAGAGAUUUUGAAGGCGGGCCAAGGAUUUAUAUGGACAUUGAGCAUUUCUCAACACAAUCAAUUAUCACCAUGUUUUUAACAUCGUGAGUGAUUCACCAUUUUCAGCAGAUAUUCAAUACCUCCCUUUCAGUGCCAACAUAGUUUGGAUGUGGUAAAAGACUAAAAGCGAGUUCCACAAGCAGUUUUUAUGUGGGAUUAUUUUAUGAAAGAACAAUAAACUACAUACGAGCACCAUAUAUCUGACUUGAUAUGGUAUCUUUUAAGUUAUAACUAAAUAAUAGAAGAGAAAAUUGACUACUUAAGUACAAAAAUAGAAAUACAUGGUGAAAUUCAAUUGUGCAUAAAACAAAUAUUAUUGCUAAAAUCAAGUGCUAAAUUCAUUUAAAAACCAUAAAUCAACUUACUGAAAACAAAGAAUCUAGGAUAGAAGGUAAACCUUGAGUUCAUAUUUUCUCAAUGUCUUAAUGACAAAUCUUUCAUCCUGUGAAAGAUAGAAUAUGCUCCCACUUUUCCCUGGAGAAGAAAGCUCCUUUAAACCAUCACCCCCACAUAUGGACAUCAUGUAAUCUGCAGCAUCAAUCUUAAACAUUUCCCGAAGGUUCCUGAAAAUAUAGUUUGAUAGAAAGAUCAAUUAGAUGAAGAUAUUGUCAAAUGUCACUUGAUCCAGAAACUUGUAGUGAAGAGUUGGGUGCCAUCGCAGUAUAUCAAGUUACUUCUACCGUCCAACAGGUAGAGAUCAGCUGUAUAAGCAGAGUAGAAAUCCCUUGCAAUAGUUGUAGAAUCUUAUUGCAAUUGUCCAUUUUCAGAAAGCUGGCAUAUCAUUGAUCAAUAGAUGAAAAAUAGCAUAAAAUGUAUGGAUAGACCAUGUACUAUCCUGCUAUUGCAAUUUAGUCCUUGGAACUUUUUAUUCAGACACUUCAGCACUGCACUUUCUCAUAUACUCCUGGCCAUUAAUGCCUUUGUGCUAUGAAACGACCUUUUAUGGGUACACAGAAACCAAAGAAGUCAUUUUAUAAAAGGAGAAUUCAUUGGAAAAAAGAAAAAGCUAAAUUACAUAAAACCCUCCCGUCAAAACCCAAUUUUUUACUUUCCCCCCCUGUCAUUUAAAGACCUACACUUUGCCCCCUUAUAAAAUAAAAAACGUUCACUGGGGGGUACAGUGUGAAAUGUGAUGACAAAAUGACCAUUUUAACCCUCACUAUUUUCGUCUCCUCCUCAUCUUGCUCAUUCACUGCCUUGAUCGGCCGCGAUUCCUCUCCAUUUUUUUUUCCACCUACUCCCCUUCCCCUCCUGCACUCUCGUCACCUCUCCAUUUUGGCGACAGUAGGGAGGAAAUCGAGAUGAGCGUGGAUGGAAAGGUGGGCAAAGGCAACGAAGGCGAAGGUGAGGCGGCGGAGGAGGGCGAGAGGGUGUUUAUGGGCGCAGACGGAGACGUGGGCGAGGGAGAGGCAGUGAAGAAGGGCGAGGUGGCGAGGCGGAUGACGACAAAGCACAGUAGAGGGCGGAGGGUAUUUUUGGCAUAAAAAAUAUUUUAUAACGGAGCCCUAACAGAUCACUAACGGUAGGAGGUGAAGUGAACAUUUUUCAUUUUACAAGGAGGCAAAGUGUAGGUUUUUAAAUAAUAGGGAGGGAAAGUGAAAAAUGGGGUUUUGACAGGGAGGUUUUCUGUAAUUUAGCCAAAAGAAAAUGAUAUUUUUAAUGUUUAUAGAUGAAUUAGAAUAUUUUAAAACAC
rnacentral:lncRNA from 1 species